rnacentral:lncRNA from 1 species
AUGUCCCCAAUGCCCAUUGGGUGGUGGUGGCACUUGGGUGUCCCCAAUGUCCCCAAUGGCCCUUGGGUGGAGGUGGCACUCAGGUGUCCCCAGUGUCCCCAACGUCCAUUGGGUGGAAAUGGCACUCAGAUGUCCCCAGUGUCCCCAACGUCCAUUGGGUGGAGGUGGCACUUGUGUGACCCCAGUGUCCCCAACAUGGAGGUGGCACUCAGGUGUCCCCGUUGUCCUCGUGUCCCUUCGUGCCGCCGUUGCCCCCAUUGUCCUCAUUGUCACCAAUGUCCCCAACACCCUCGGAGUCCCUCAUGUCCUCGUGUCGUGUCCCCAGUGUCCCCAGCGUCCAUUGGGCAGAGGUGGCACUCAGGUGUCUCCAAUGUCCCCAAAGUUGAUUGGUUGGAAAUGGCACUCAGGUGUCCCCAAAGUCCAUUGGGUGGAGGUGGCACUCAGGUGACCCCAGUGUCCCCAACGUCCAUUGGGUGGUGGUGGCAUUUGGGUGCCCCCAGUGUCCACUGGGUGGAGGUGGCAUUUGGGUGUCUUGGGUGUCCCCAACGUUCAUUGGGUGGUGGUGGCACUCGGGUGUCUCCAAUGUCCUCAACAUUGAUUGGUUGGAAAUGGCACUUGGGUGUCCCCAAAGUCCAUUGGGUGGAGGUGGCACUCAGGUGUCUCCAGUGUCCCCAGUGUCCCCAACGUCCACUGGGGGGUGGUGGCACUUGGGUGUCCCCAAAGUCCAUUGGGUGGAGGUGGCACUCAGGUGUCCCCAUUGUCCUCGUGUCCCUCCGUGCCCCCGUUGCCCCCAUUGUCCUCAUUGUCACCAAUGUCCCCAACACCCUCGGAGUCCCUCAUGUCCUCGUGUCCCUCAGUGUCACCAACGUCCCCACGCCCAUCAGAGGUCCAAUGGGAUGGGCAGAGUGACAGUGGCAGCAGUGUCCCCACUGUGGUGUCCUUCAGUGUCCCCAGUGACCCCAUUGUCCCCAUUGACCCCAGUGACCCCAAUGUCCCUAAUGAUCCCAUUGUCGUCACUGACCCCAUUGUCCCCAUUGACCCCAAUGACCCCAUUGUCCUCACUGACCCCCGUGUCUCCACUGUCCCCAAUGUUCCCUAUGACCCCAGUGUCCUCAUUGACCCCAAUGAUCCCAAUGACCCCAAUGACCCCAUGA